rnacentral:lncRNA from 7 species
UCUUUAGAAUUACCCAUUUAAGCCGGUUUUUUAAAAUCACUGCUUUUUUCUUUUUCGAAAUCCAACAUUUAAGCAAAAUCACGCGUUUUCUCAAUCCCACAUUUAAGCGAAAAACACUCGUUUUCUCUUCACAAAUCCCCCAUUUAUGCAAAAAUCACACGUUUUCUCUCAGGAAUUUCCAUUUUAGAAAACCACGCGUUUUCUCUUCGCAAAUCCCCCAUUUAUGCGAAAAUCACGUGUUUUCUCUUCGCAAAUCCCCCAUUUAUGUGAAUGUUUUCUCCUUCGAAAAUCCCCCAUUUAACCCGAAAAACGCACAUUUUCAAUUUGCAAAUCCCCCAUUUAAGCGAAAAACACACGUUUUCUCUUCACAAAUCCGCCAUUAAAGCAAAAAUCACGCGUUUUCUCUUCAGGAAUCCCCCAUUUAACCUGAAAAUCACUCGUUUUCUUUUCUCAAAUCCCCCAUUUAAGCGAAAAUCACGCUUUUUCUCUUCGAGAAUCCAAUAACCCGAAAAUCACGCGUUUUAAAUC